rnacentral:rRNA from 1 species
GGGGGUGCUUGCACCCCGCUGACGAGCGGCGGACGGGUGAGUAAUGCAUAGGAAAUUGCCCAGUAGUGGGGGAUAGCCCGGGGAAACCCGGAUUAAUACCGCAUACGUCCUUCGGGAGAAAGCAGGGGAUCUUCGGACCUUGCGCUAUUGGAUGUGCCUAUGUCGGAUUAGCUAGUUGGUGGGGUAAAGGCCUACCAAGGCGACGAUCCGUAGCUGGUCUGAGAGGAUGAUCAGCCACAUCGGGACUGAGACCCGGCCCGAACUCCUACGGGAGGCAGCAGUGGGGAAUAUUGGACAAUGGGGGCAACCCUGAUCCAGCCAUGCCGCGUGUGUGAAGAAGGCUUUCGGGUUGUAAAGCACUUUCAGUGAGGAGGAAAACCUUAUGGUUAAUACCCAUGAGGCUUGACGUUACUCACAGAAGAAGCACCGGCUAACUCCGUGCCAGCAGCCGCGGUAAUACGGAGGGUGCAAGCGUUAAUCGGAAUUACUGGGCGUAAAGCGCGCGUAGGUGGUUUGAUAAGCGAGAUGUGAAAGCCCCGGGCUUAACCUGGGAACGGCAUUUCGAACUGUCAGGCUAGAGUAUG